GCCAGACUCCUACGGGAGGCAGCAGUGGGGGAUAUUGCACAAUGGGGGGAACCCUGAUGCAGCGACGCCGCGUGGGUGAAGAAGCGCCUCGGCGCGUAAAGCCCUGUCAGCAGGGAAGAAAAUGACGGUACCUGAAGAAGAAGCCCCGGCUAACUCCGUGCCAGCAGCCGCGGUAAUACGUAUGGAGCAAGCGUUAUCCGGAUUUACUGGGUGUAAAGGGAGCGCAGGCGGCCUUGCAAGUCUGAUGUGAAAGGCCGGGGCCCAACCCCGGGACUGCAUUGGAAACUGCGAGGCUGGAGUGUCGGAGAGGCAGGCGGAAUUCCUAGUGUAGCGGUGAAAUGCGUAGAUAUUAGGAGGAACACCAGUGGCGAAGGCGGCUUACUGGACUGUAACUGACGUUGAGGCUCGAAAGCGUGGGGAGCAAACAGGAUUAGAUACCCCCGUAAC
rnacentral:rRNA from 1 species